rnacentral:rRNA from 1 species
AUACGGGGGGAGCAAGCGUUGUCCGGAAUCAUUGGGCGUAAAGGGCACGUAGGCGGUUUCUUAAGUCGAAUGUGAAAUCUCACGGCUCAACCGUGAAACUGCGUUCGAAACUAAGUGACUUGAGUUUGGGAGAGGUGUACGGAAUUCCUGGUGUAGCGGUGGAAUGCGUAGAUAUCAGGAAGAACACCAAUGGCGAAGGUAGUACACUGGCCUGAAACUGACGCUGAGGUGCGAAAGCGUGGGGAGCAAACAGGAUUAGAUACCCCAGUAGUCC